CCUACGGGAGGCAGCAGUGGGGAAUAUUGGACAAUGGGGGCAACCCUGAUCCAGCCAUGCCGCGUGUGUGAAGAAGGCCCUCGGGUUGUAAAGCACUUUCAGUGAGGAAGAACACCUGGUGGUUAAUACCCAUCAGGAAAGACAUCACUCACAGAAGAAGCACCGGCUAACUCCGUGCCAGCAGCCGCGGUAAUACGGAGGGUGCGAGCGUUAAUCGGAAUUACUGGGCGUAAAGCGCGCGUAGGUGGCUUGAUAAGCCGGUUGUGAAAGCCCCGGGCUCAACCUGGGAACGGCAUCCGGAACUGUCAAGCUAGAGUGCAGGAGAGGAAGGUAGAAUUCCCGGUGUAGCGGUGAAAUGCGUAGAGAUCGGGAGGAAUACCAGUGGCGAAGGCGGCCUUCUGGACUGACACUGACACUGAGGUGCGAAAGCGUGGGUAGCAAACAGGAUUAGAUACCCCAGUAGUC
rnacentral:rRNA from 1 species